rnacentral:rRNA from 1 species
GAUGAACGCUGGCGGCGUGCCUAAUACAUGCCAGUCGAGCGAACAGACGAGGAGCUUGCUCCUCUGACGUUAGCGGCGGACGGGUGAGUAACACGUGGAUAACCUACCUAUAAGACUGGGAUAACUUCGGGAAACCGGAGCUAAUACCGGAUAAUAUAUUGAACCGCAUGGUUCAAUAGUGAAAGACGGUUUUGCUGUCACUUAUAGAUGGAUCCGCGCCGCAUUAGCUAGUUGGUAAGGUAACGGCUUACCAAGGCAACGAUGCGUAGCCGACCUGAGAGGGUGAUCGGCCACACUGGAACUGAGACACGGUCCAGACUCCUACGGGAGGCAGCAGUAGGGAAUCUUCCGCAAUGGGCGAAAGCCUGACGGAGCAACGCCGCGUGAGUGAUGAAGGUCUUCAGAUCGUAAAACUCUGUUAUUAGGGAAGAACAAAUGUGUAAGUAACUAUGCACGUCUUGACGGUACCUAAUCAGAAAGCCACGGCUAACUACGUG